rnacentral:tRNA from 1 species
AGGGGUAUAGCUUAGAGGUACAGCACUUGCUUAGCAUGCAGGAGGCCCUGGGUUAGAUUCUCAGUACUACAA